AGUGAACGCUGGCGGCGUGCUUAACACAUGCAAGUCGAACGAGACCUUUAUAUAGCUUGCUAUAAUUGUCAGCUAAGUGGCGCACGGGUGAGUAAUGUAUAGGUAAUAUGCCUCUUACUUAGGGAUAACAAAUGGAAACGUUUGCUAAUACCUUAUACUCCUUAUUAACAGACGUUAAUAAGGGAAAGAUUUAUUGGUAAGAGAUUAGCCUGUAUUGUAUCAGUUAGUUGGUGGGGUAAUGGCUUACCAAGACUAUGACACAUAACUGGUUUGGGAGGAUGAGCAGUCACACUGGAACUGAGACACGGUCCAGACUCCUACGGGAGGCAGCAGUGGGGAAUAUUGCACAAUGGACGAAAGUCUGAUGCAGCAACGCCGCGUGGAGGAGGACACAUUUCGGUGCGUAAACUCCUUUUAUAUGAGAAGAUAAUGACGGUAUUAUAUGAAUAAGCACCGGCUAACUCCGUGCCAGCCGCCGCGGUAACAC
rnacentral:rRNA from 1 species